GAGUUUGAUCCUGGCUCAGGAUGAACGCUAGCUACAGGCUUAACACAUGCAAGUCGAGGGGCAGCAUGGUCUUAGCUUGCUAAGGCCGAUGGCGACCGGCGCACGGGUGAGUAACACGUAUCCAACCUGCCGUCUACUCUUGGACAGCCUUCUGAAAGGAAGAUUAAUACAAGAUGGCAUCAUGAGUCCGCAUGUUCACAUGAUUAAAGGUAUUCCGGUAGACGAUGGGGAUGCGUUCCAUUAGAUAGUAGGCGGGGUAACGGCCCACCUAGUCUUCGAUGGAUAGGGGUUCUGAGAGGAAGGUCCCCCACAUUGGAACUGAGACACGGUCCAAACUCCUACGGGAGGCAGCAGUGAGGAAUAUUGGUCAAUGGGCGAGAGCCUGAACCAGCCAAGUAGCGUGAAGGAUGUCUGCCCUAUGGGUUGUAAACUUCUUUUACAAAGGAAUAAAGUCGGGUAUGCAUACCCGUUUGCAUGUACUUUAUGAAUAAGGAUCGGCUAACUCCGUGCCAGCAGCCGCGGUAAUACGGAG
rnacentral:rRNA from 1 species